GGACGGGUGAGUAAGACAUGGGUAACCUACCCCACAGUGAGGAAUACCGGCGAGAAAUCGCCGACAAGAGCGCAUACGCUUCCCGAAAGGGAAGCAAAGUCGCAAGACGCUAUGGGAUGGGCCUGUGGCCGAUUAGCUGGUUGGUGAGGUAACGGCUCACCAAGGCUGUGAUCGGUAGCUGGUCUGAGAGGAUGAUCAGCCACACUGGGAUUGAGAACGGCGCGCAGACUCCUACGGGGGGCAGCAGUGAGGAAUUUUCGGCAAUGGGGGCAACCCUGACCGAGCAACGCCGCGUGCAGGNAAGACGGCCUUCGGGUUGUAAACUGCUUUUCUGUGGGACGAGGAAGGACGGUACCACAGGAAGAAGCCCCGGUAACUACGUGCCAGCCGCCGCGG
rnacentral:rRNA from 1 species